rnacentral:rRNA from 1 species
GACGAACGCUGGCGGCGUGCUUAACACAUGCAAGUUGAACGGUAAGGCCCUUCGGGGUACACGAGUGGCGAACGGGUGAGUAACACGUGGGUGAUCUGCCCUGCACUUCGGGAUAAGCCUGGGAAACUGGGUCUAAUACCGGAUAGGACCACUGCCUGCAUGGGUGGUGGUGGAAAGCUUUUGCGGUGUGGGAUGGGCCCGCGGCCUAUCAGCUUGUUGGUGGGGUGAUGGCCUACCAAGGCGACGACGGGUAGACGGCCUGAGAGGGUGACCGGCAACACUGGGACUGAGAUACGGCCCGGAAUCCUACGGGGGGGAGCGGUGGGGAAUAUUGCACAAUGGGCGCAGGCCUGAUGCAGCGGCGCCGCGUGAGGGAUGACGGCCUUCGGGUUGUAAACCUCUUUCAGCACCGACGAAGCGCAAGUGACGGUAGGUGCAGAAGAAGGACCGGCCAACUACGUGCCAGCCGCCGCGGUAACAC